CCCCUAGACGUUCUGGGCUGCACGCGCGCUACAAUAAUACGCACAGCGAGUAUCACCGAGCUCGAAAGGACAAGGUAAACAAUAGAAAAGGUACUGUAAUGGUUAUAGAUCCUUGUAAUUAUUGAUCUUCAACGAGGAAUUCCUAGUAAGUAUGUGUCAUCAUCACGCACUGAUUACGUCCCUGCCCUUUGUACACACCGCCCGUCGCUCCUACCGAUUGGGUGAGCCGAUGAAACUCUCGGAUGUAGGCUAUUCAUAGCCCGCAGAAGAGAUUUGAAUCGUAGCGCUUAGAGGAAGGAGAAGUCGUAACA
rnacentral:rRNA from 1 species